GCCCACUUCUGGUCGGUGGGCGCCCUCAUGCCUCGGACCUGACUGCUCCUCCGCGGGUACUGAUUCACGCGGGCCAAAUACCACAGAUCUUCUCCUACCCCCCCGACGUCUCUAGCCAAGAAUGCCAGCGUCAAUCUCCUGUGUUUCCCUUAACUGCAAGGGGUUGAAUAACCCCGCUAAACGCCAUCAACUACUAAGAUGGUCAAACAGAACUAAAG